GAGUUUGAUCCUGGCUCAGGAUGAACGCUGGCGGCGUGCCUAAUACAUGCAAGUCGAGCGAACAGACGGGGAGCUUGCUCCCCUGACGUUAGCGGCGGACGGGUGAGUAACACGUGGGUAACCUACCUAUAAGACUGGAAUAACUCCGGGAAACCGGGGCUAAUGCCGGAUAACAUGUUGGACCGCAUGGUCCUACAGUGAAAGACGGUCUUGCUGUCACUUAUAGGUGGACCCGCGCCGUAUUAGCUAGUUGGUAAGGUAACGGCUUACCAAGGCAACGAUACGUAGCCGACCUGAGAGGGUGAUCGGCCACACUGGAACUGAGACACGGUCCAGACUCCUACGGGAGGCAGCAGUAGGGAAUCUUCCGCAAUGGGCGAAAGCCUGACGGAGCAACGCCGCGUGAGUGAUGAA
rnacentral:rRNA from 1 species